GGUUAUUGAACUUGUAUAAGUAUAUAUUUUGAAAAUAUAAAAAAGAAGUUUAAUCUUCUAAUAACUU
rnacentral:tRNA from 1 species